rnacentral:rRNA from 1 species
AGAGUUUGAUCAUGGCUCAGAACGAACGCUGGCGGCGUACCUAACACAUGCAAGUCGUACGAGAAAUUCCGAUUCGUCGGGAGAGUAAAGUGGCGAACGGGUGAGUAACACUAGGGUAAUCUCCCCUUAAAUAAGGGAUAACGUUGCGAAAGCGACGCUAAUACCUUAUAAGACUACGAUCUCUUAGGAGAUAGUAGGAAAAGAUGGCCUCUGUUUCAAGCUAUCGUUUAAGGAUGAGCCCUAGCACUAUUAGCUAGUUGGUGAGGUAAUGGCUCACCAAGGCGACGAUGGUUAGCUGGUCUGAGAGGAUGACCAGCCACACUGGAACUGAGACACGGCCCAGACUCCUACGGGAGGCAGCAGUGAGGAAUAUUGCGCAAUGGGGGCAACCCUGACGCAGUGACGCCGCGUGAGUGAUGAAGGCUUUCGAGUCGUAAAGCUCUGUUAGGUGGAAAGAAACAUUCCGGCGCUAAUAUCGCCGGGACUUGACGGUACCACCAGAGGAAGCACCGGCUAACUCCGUGCCAGCAGCCGCGGUAAUACGGAGGGUGCAAGCGUUGUUCGGAUUUACUGGGCGUAAAGGGCGUGUAGGCGGUUGGCUAAGUCAGAUGUGAAAUCCCUUGGCUUAACUAAGGAACGGCAUUUGAAACUAGCUAACUAGAGUACAGGAGAGGAAAGUGGAAUUCCCAGUGUAGAGGUGAAAUUCAUAGAUAUUGGGAGGAACACCGGUAGCGAAGGCGGCUUUCUGGCCUGAUACUGACGCUGAGACGCGAAAGCGUGGGUAGCAAACAGGAUUAGAUACCCUGGUAGUCCACGCCGUAAACGAUGGGAACUAGGUGUAGGAAGUGUUGACCCUUUCUGUGCCGAAGCUAACGCAUUAAGUUCCCCGCCUGGGGAGUACGGUCGCAAGGCUAAAACUCAAAGGAAUUGACGGGGGCCCGCACAAGCGGUGGAGCAUG